rnacentral:rRNA from 1 species
UACGUAGGGGGCAAGCGUCGUCCGGAUUUAUUGGGCGUAAAGAGCUCGUAGGCGGUUCCGUAAGUCGAGUGUGAAAAAUCUGGGCUCAACCCAGUGGAGCACUCGAUACUGCGGUGACUAGAGUACGGUAGAGGAGUGUGGAAUUCCUGGUGUAGCGGUGAAAUGCGCAGAUAUCAGGAGGAACACCAACGGCGAAGGCAGCACUCUGGGCCGGUACUGACGCUGAGGAGCGAAAGCGUGGGGAGCAAACGGG